GUGAGAUGUACGGGGUGAAUGGAGAGAUGCUGUAGAAGUUGAGCAAGGUUUUUAGAGUCCAAGCUUCUAUUGUUUAGAUUGUAGCUAACUGUGAGUGUCGCUGACGGCGGAGAUCAACCGCUGCGGGGAUUUCGUGGACUGCAUCCUGGGAUCAUCGUGGAGACUACGGCGACCAGCUGGACAUCAGCACACAGACCUGCAACGUUUUGAGGCUGGUGGAAGCUGAAUUAGUGAGGAUGACUCCUGCUCCUGUCAUCUCUAAGCUCCUCACACAUCUUUACCUGCACAUGAGGAAAAUCACUCCUGUAGAAUGCAGAUGUUCAGAGGGAGAUGAUGCCACAUCUGGUCCAGCUGAUGGAAGGUCUUGAAGUUCUCUGACUGACCUCGACUGAAGAUGGUCGUCUCACUGGAUUUAAGGUUCAGAUGCUCAGUAACAAACUCCACCAAUGUGCCAACAGGGAAGCUUUAGGUUUAUUAAAUGUUGCUAUGAAGGUAUCGCUGUUUUUCUUUGUGAAUGCAAUGUGCUCCAACUGAAACUUGAAUUAGAACUUAGAAGUAAAUCCUUCCAUCUGAAAGGAUUUAGUUGCAUUAAUAACCUCAUAACAUUCUAAUUUUUAUUCCAGUCUUGGUUGGAAAUAGAAUCUCUGUAUUGAUUCAGGUAAAAACUGAACUUCACAGCAUGUUGGAGCAAAACAACCAGAUGAAAACUGUGAUGUGUUGGAUUGUCAGACCGUAAUGUUGCAGCUCAAAGCAGCUUUUCUAGCUCAGUUCAUUCUGACAUUCAGCUAUGAAUCAACACAGCAGAUGGUGAUCCAUGCUGUGGAAGUCUCACAUCUCCUGAUUUAAUGGAGCUGCUUUGCACUUUUUACACUGUUUAUUCACCAACACUUUAUUUAAUAAAAGUCCCAUCUAGUUUUUAUGAGGAAUGUGAUGUUUUAAUUUCUCUGUGAAUAACUGCAGUCUAAUGCAACAGCUGGAGUUGUAACAUCUGUCCUGAUAUUGAUCAUGAAGUAUUGAUCAGAAUACUUAUGGUCAGCAGUCAUCCCUGAAGUUUUACAUUAAAAUCUUUACUUGUGUUGUGAACUUUGGUAAGAAGCAGAAAUGUUAGCGUUGCCAUGGAUACAUGAGUGUUAAAUUCUGUCCAUGUCUCCAUUUUGGGAAAUUCAGUCCAGUUCCAGAAUGUGGAGGAAUUUAGUCUCACAAUCACAGACAACAAAUAUUAUCUGAAAGUUGGGUUAUUGUUGUUUAUCAGCACAAUACAAAAAGAUUAAUGUUAGAAAUAUUCCAGUUAAGACUCUAGAAUAUCAUGAUUUAUAUAAAUUUACCUCAAUAAUAUGAAUGUUCAGGUUAAGAUUGUACAGUGAUAUUUAUUAUGUAAGUUUAGCUGAUUAAAGUUUAUGACUCUGCACUAAAAUAAUAUUUAAAUUUACAUCAAUAUUAUAACAUUUAGGGUCAGACCCUACAGUAUUGAGAUUAAGAAAUCAAAUAUUCUAUAAAUGUAAAUACAUUGAACUCAUUUGGAUAUAUUUAAGUGAGACUCUACAAUAUUAUUUGACACAAAUCUAUCUAAAUAAAUUUUUUAUAAUUUUCAUGCCAAACAUUUAUUGGACUGAUUUAAAUAUUAAAAUCACUCCUUUCUAAUCCUCUGCUGUACGUUCAAACCUGAGGCCUUAAAUAGAAACACACAAGUAUCUGUUUGAAGGAACUUCUGCAGAGUCCUGGUUCCAGAACAUGAUGAUAGAAUUAUAGACAAACUUUAACAAAAGCUGUCUGAGAGUUUACAGGUUUUUAUGUUGGAUUUCUUCAGUAAUUUAAUGAACGUUAUCAGCAAUAAUCAAGUGUUCAUUUGAUGAACUUCAUUUCCUAAAACAUCCAGAAUUGGAGCUCAUAUCUUUGGCAGCUGUAAAGUUUCUGCUCCUUCAAAGUUCACAACACAAUGAAUGAAUUCCUAAAACACUCUCAAUGCUGGAGAGCGUUUGUGAUGCUGAAGCAGUGAUCAGUUUUUCUGUUUCUUCUCUGGAGAUGCACAAUGAGGGACGUCUGCAGAGACUGAGAAAGAGUCUCACCACAUCCUGACAUGAAGAAAAAGACUUUAUUGAAGACUACAAUGAGAAAAACUAUCAGACAGCAGACGGCAAUGUUCCCUGUAAUUUUUCCUGAGUCUGAGCAAACACACAAACCCCCUGAGCGUCCCUUGGACCACUGUGAGCAACAUCAGACGUGUGCACUGUGGUCACACCAGCAUCACAUCCAUUCAAGUUACAUGGUUCAUUAAAAGAAUCAAAUUACAGCAUUUACAUUUCUGUUAAAACACUUUGUCAACAGGAGCCAGUUGAAGGCUGCAGUGAUUUUAGUGACACUACAAUGUAUAAGAGUGAAGUUAUUGAAUAUUUGUCUCUCUUUACUGUUGCAGCGGUUUUGCAAAUUGCAGACGGACCCUGUUCACUCCAUAGACACCAAUGUUAUUCCUGUAGCUUGAAAGACAGCUACUUUUGAUAAAACUGGGCUUGUAGCACAUUGUCUGCCUUGCAACAAUGGGAAAGAGGCACCGUUUAUGUUUUGACAACCUAUAUCUAAUGAGUUAUUGAUGCUGGAAGUCCGAAUCUGUGAAUAUCUUUCCAACUUUACUGAACUUGGGGCCACUGUUCUGUCUGAAAAGAGGUGGCAUCAUUUUAAACAGUGAAAUCAAACUAACAAAAUGUAAUGACCAACCAGGGAGCAAUACUGGAUUCUGCAAAAACAUAAACAACUUUUUUUUUUUUUUUUUAAAUCUAAAUCUUAACACAGUUAAUGUAUUAACUUAUUUUUGUGUGUAUGCAUUUAUUUAUUGAUUUAUUUAGUACUGUUAACAUCAGAGUUCUGAGUGAAUUUUUCUUAAGAUAGGCAAAGGCCAUUUAUUGAUUACAUAUAGGCUCUUAAAUGUUUAUUAAAAACUGAAAAGCAUUUAAAAAAAAAACAACUUAGGCAUUUAUUGAGUCACUAAAAUACUGUAGAGUACAGACCACAUCAGCAUGAUUAUAAGCAUCCUCUGGUAAAUUAACAACCAGAUACUGAUGUCUCUCACCAUAUGGACUUCAGGAGAUGAUUAGAUGAUGAUAAACUGUGACCUACUGGUUGGGUUCUCUCUGUUCUCAUGUUUCUUACAUGUUUGUCCCCUGACAGCCGGGUCCUAAUGUUUUUUGA